rnacentral:rRNA from 1 species
UACGUAGGGUGCGAACGUUGUCCGGAAUUAUUGGGCGUAAAGAGCUCGUAGGCGGUGUGUCGCGUCGGCCGUGAAAACCUGCAGCUUAACUGUGGGCUUGCGGUCGAUACGGGCAUCACUGGAGUUCGGCAGGGGAGACUGGAAUUCCUGGUGUAGCGGUGAAAUGCGCAGAUAUCAGGAGGAACACCGGUGGCGAAGGCGGGUCUCUGGGCCGAUACUGACGCUGAGGAGCGAAAGCGUGGGGAGCGAACAGG